rnacentral:rRNA from 1 species
UACGUAGGGGGCAAGCGUUGUCCGGAUUCAUUGGGCGUAAAGAGCGUGUAGGCGGCCAGGUAGGUCGGUUGUGAAAACUGGAGGCUCAACCUUCAGAGGUCGACCGAAACCAUCUGGCUAGAGUCCGGGAGAGGAGAGUGGAAUUCCUGGUGUAGCGGUGAAAUGCGCAGAUAUCGGGAGGAACACCUGUGGCGAAAGCGGCGCACUGGACCACAUCUGACGCUGAGGCGCGAAAGCUAGGGGAGCAAACAGG